UACGGAGGGUGCGAGCGUUGUCCGGAAUCAUUGGGCGUAAAGGGCGCGUAGGUGGCCCGGUCAGUCUUUGGUGAAAGCGCGGGGCUCAACCCUGCGUCGGCCAGGGAUACUGCCGCGGCUCGAGCACUGUAGGGGCAGGCGGAAUUCCGGGUGGUAGCGGUGGAAUGCGUAGAGAUCCGGAAGAACACCGGUGGCGAAGGCGGCCUGCUGGGCAGUUUAGCUGACACUGAGGCGCGACAGCGUGGGGAGCAAACAGG
rnacentral:rRNA from 1 species